UUUUAUGGAGAGUUUGAUCCUGGCUCAGAGUGAACGCUGGCGGCGUGCCUAAUACAUGCAAGUCGAACGAUGAAGCUUCUAGCUUGCUAGAAUGCUGAUUAGUGGCGCACGGGUGAGUAACGCAUAGGUUAUGUGCCUCUUAGUUUGGGAUAGCCAUUGGAAACGAUGAUUAAUACCAGAUACUCCCUACGGGGGAAAGAUUUAUCGCUAAGAGAUCAGCCUAUGUCCUAUCAGCUUGUUGGUAAGGUAAUGGCUUACCAAGGCUAUGACGGGUAUCCGGCCUGAGAGGGUGAACGGACACACUGGAACUGAGACACGGUCCAGACUCCUACGGGAGGCAGCAGUAGGGAAUAUUGCUCAAUGGGGGAAACCCUGAAGCAGCAACGCCGCGUGGAGGAUGAAGGUUUUAGGAUUGUAAACUCCUUUUGUUAGAGAAGAUAAUGACGGUAUCUAACGAAUAAGCACCGGCUAACUCCGUGCCAGCAGCCGCGGUAAUACGGAGGGUGCAAGCGUUACUCGGAAUCACUGGGCGUAAAGAGCGCGUAGGCGGGAUAGUCAGUCAGGUGUGAAAUCCUAUGGCUUAACCAUAGAACUGCAUUUGAAACUACUAUUCUAGAGUGUGGGAGAGGUAGGUGGAAUUCUUGGUGUAGGGGUAAAAUCCGUAGAGAUCAAGAGGAAUACUCAUUGCGAAGGCGACCUGCUGGAACAUUACUGACGCUGAUUGCGCGAAAGCGUGGGGAGCAAACAGGAUUAGAUACCCUGGUAGUCCACGCCCUAAACGAUGGAUGCUAGUUGUUGGAGGGCUUAGUCUCUCCAGUAAUGCAGCUAACGCAUUAAGCAUCCCGCCUGGGGAGUACGGUCGCAAGAUUAAAACUCAAAGGAAUAGACGGGGACCCGCACAAGCGGUGGAGCAUGUGGUUUAAUUCGAAGAUACACGAAGAACCUUACCUAGGCUUGACAUUGAGAGAAUCCGCUAGAAAUAGUGGAGUGUCUGGCUUGCUAGACCUUGAAAACAGGUGCUGCACGGCUGUCGUCAGCUCGUGUCGUGAGAUGUUGGGUUAAGUCCCGCAACGAGCGCAACCCCCUUUCUUAGUUGCUAACAGGUUAUGCUGAGAACUCUAAGGAUACUGCCUCCGUAAGGAGGAGGAAGGUGGGGACGACGUCAAGUCAUCAUGGCCCUUACGCCUAGGGCUACACACGUGCUACAAUGGGGUGCACAAAGAGAAGCAAUACUGCGAAGUGGAGCCAAUCUUCAAAACACCUCUCAGUUCGGAUUGUAGGCUGCAACUCGCCUGCAUGAAGCUGGAAUCGCUAGUAAUCGCAAAUCAGCCAUGUUGCGGUGAAUACGUUCCCGGGUCUUGUACUCACCGCCCGUCACACCAUGGGAGUUGUGUUUGCCUUAAGUCAGGAUGCUAAAUUGGCUACUGCCCACGGCACACACAGCGACUGGGGUGAAGUCGUAACAAGGUAACCGUAGGUGAACCUGCGGUUGGAUCACCUCCUUUCUAGA
rnacentral:rRNA from 1 species